GACGAACCGUGCGAACGUUGUUCGGAUUCACUGGGCUUAAAGGGCGCGUAGGCGGAUGGCCAAGUCAAGGGUGAAAGCCCCCGGCCCAACCGGGGAAGUGCCUCUGAUACUGGUCAUCUCGAGCGGGAUAGGGGCAGCUGGAACUUCCGGUGGAGCGGUGAAAUGCGUAGAUAUCGGAAGGAACGCCGGUGGCGAAAGCGAGCUGCUGGAUCCCUCCUGACGCUGAGGCGCGAAAGCCAGGGGAGCGAACGGGAUUAGAUACCCCGGUAGUCCUGGCCCUAAACGAUGGGCACCAGGCCGUGGACUGACAUGGGUUCACAGCCGAGGCAAAAGUGUUAAGUGCCCCGCCUGGGGAGUAUGGUCGCAAGGCUGAA
rnacentral:rRNA from 1 species